rnacentral:rRNA from 1 species
CCUACGGGAGGCAGCAGUGGGGGAUAUUGCGCAAUGGGCGAAAGCCUGACGCAGCGACGCCGCGUGGGGGAUGACGGCCUUCGGGUUGUAAACUCCUGUUAAGUGGGAAGAAAUAGUUGUUUUUAAUAGAAACAGAAGAUGACGGUACCAUUAGAGAAAGCACCGGCUAACUUCGUGCCAGCAGCCGCGGUAAUACGAGGGGUGCUAGCGUUAUUCGGAAUCAUUGGGCGUAAAGGGUGUGUAGACGGCAAGCUAAGUCAACUGUUAAAUUCUCUGGCCUAACCAGAGCUCAGCGGUAGAAACUAAUUUGAUAGAGGGUGAAAGAGAGAAGUGGAAUUCUCGGAGUAGCGGUAAAAUGCGUAGAUCUCGAGAGGAACACCGAUGGCGAAGGCAGCUUCUUAGUUCAUUCCUGACGUUGAAACACGAAAGCGUGGGUAGCAAACAGGAUUAGAUACCCGGUAGUCC